GCAUAAUUCUUUCCUCCUGUGCAUCUGAGGAUUUGUUGGCUGAUAGACUGUAAUUACAGCCCCAGAAGGGCAUCUCCAGAAGACACCAGUUACCUGAGAAGGAUGUAGGAAGGUGUUGAGCAGGCAACCAGAUUGCUCCAAGAAGGCAACAAUGAUCUUCAAGAGACCAGAACACAAGGAUCAAGAUAACACGAUUAACCAGUUCUGAAAAUGGUCCCAUGGGCAUGACUUCAUCCUCCUGUUCAAGCCAUCUACAUUUGUCCCGGUCAGCAAGCUUUUGUUAAACCAGCUCUGCUUUGAUGCUUGGCCUCUGGCUCUAUCUGUCUGUCUUCCACGAGUAGCGUUUUCCACUGCAGCCUUCUCAGCUCUGGAUUUCUCGCUAACACAACUACCUCUUCUGGAUGAUCUAUCGCCACAUCUGGUCAGUCGCUGCAUGCUCUGCAAGAGAAAAUGGGACAUUCCCCCUCCUUCCCCCACACCCCUCUGUGUUUGGAGCAGGUGUCCCAUCCUGCCUCACAACAUAUGAGCACAGCAUGGCCAUCAGUUCCAAUUUCUGCUGAUCAGUAGCAGACAGACUUUGCUGCUUUCUCAUGAGCUGUUUGUAAUUUGUGCUUGCUAACUAGCUUUUAUCCAAGAUAAACUGUCUAUACAGCCCAUGGCAGCAAGUUUUCCAGCCUGGGUCGACUAGGGUGACCAGACAGCAAGUGUGAAAAAUUGGGAUGGGGGGUGGGGAGUAAAAGGUGCAUAUAUAAGACACUACCCUGAAUAUUAGAACUCUCCCUACAAAAUUGGGACAUCUGGUCACCCUUAGGUUGACAGUUUCAGGCUAGUGCUCUAAAAACAGCUAUAUAGCCAAUGCUUUGAAGUUGCAACUUGAGCUACAGUUCAGGGUCUGAAGUUCCCCCUUGUUUUUAAGCUGUUUUUAAAUUGCCACCCUGAGCCCCAUUCGCCCAAGUCUGUCAACCUGGGCUGGGAUGCUCAUUGCUAGGGGCUGUGCAGACUUACCGUAACAGAUAUGGUCUUGGCUUUCAGUUUAAAGAGCAAAAGUGUAAGCUCUUGCAAUAAUGUUUUUAAAAGCUUCACAUGCUACCAAGUAGAUCCCAAACGCUGCCACCAUUUUGUCAUAUACACAUUCUGUGUCAACUUUCUUUUGGUAGUUAACAUUUGCUUCCUCUCUAACCUUAUUAUGAAUUAAAAUUGGUUAGACAGGGACUGAAGUUAACUCAACCUCUAUCCAGUUGGUCAGUUUUACAAAGACAACACUUAACAGUUUCUUUUACUUUCCAUAAUAAAUGCUCAUAACUCCCACUAGGUGCUGUGUAUCCACGUGGAGAAAAUAAAAUGUACUUAUGGCUUUGUGCAGCCAUUGCAAGUACAAAUUUAGCUAAGCCAAUAAUCAGCUAAGUGUGAAGUCAUGACAGGGCUAAAUAAUGGAAUGUCUAAACUAAAGAAUUUACUAGACUGGAUGCAGUACAGGGAUAAGCUAACUUCCAUUGUCUUACAAGUCUUACAUAAUCAUUUAAGCUGCUUCUUGCACUUAUAUAACUGAACUACAGUACAUCGGUAUGAACUGCUCAUACUUCCCGAGUCACUAAAACACUCCAGGUUUGUUCUAUUAUUAUUGUCUAUUCAAAUAGAACCUAUAUAUUCAUUAAAUAUUGCAAAAUUACAGUGGGAUGGGGAAGUCCUUAUGCCGGAUAUGACUGCCCAAAGUGUACUGUCAAUGGCAAGUGGAAACUGGAAUGGUCAUGGGCAAAAUGGACUAUUCUAUCUUAAAAGGGUGAUAAAAAACAACGUGUUGUGAAACAAAUGCUGAACCUCCU